UACGUAGGUGGCAAGCGUUGUCCGGAUUUAUUGGGUUUAAAGGGUGCGUAGGCGGUUCCAUAAGUCAGUGGUGAAAUACGGCAGCUCAACUGUCGAGGUGCCAUUGAUACUGCGGAACUUGAGUGUUGAUGAGGCAGGCGGAAUUGACGGUGUAGCGGUGAAAUGCGCAGAUAUCAGGAGGAACACCAAUGGCGAAGGCAGCUCGCUGGGACGUUACUGACGCUGAGACGCGAAAGCGUGGGGAGCAAACAGG
rnacentral:rRNA from 1 species